AGGGAGUCUUGCAAAAAGGAAUGUUUACUCAUGAGGCACCAAUUUCCUGGAGAUGGGAGGCAACCUCAAAUCCGCCUCCCUGGGGACAAACAGGGACUUAGAGAGGCUGCCUUCACUGCCAGCCAUGACUCUUCACUGGGGCCUGCGGCUGCCAGGUGGGUAAGGAACAGGGAGAGAAGCCUGGCCUCUCCUCGGGGGUCUGUCUCCUCUUCUACCUCAAACCUAGGGUCAGGCUCCUUCUGAGCUUGACACGUAGGCUUGCUAAUGCGAAAUUCAUCAACCCUGGAUUUACCUAACCUGUCUUGUCCUCUUUUAAGAUGAGGACACCGAGGUAGAGUAAUUAAGAUUUGCAGGGACAUUGACCUGUCAGCUUUUACAAUAUCCUGCCCCAGAGUCCUGGAGGGGUACCUAGAAGUCUAGUCAUUGCCCUGCACCUUCUAGGGACUGCACAGCUGAGUUAUGGGCCUUCUAAGGUCAUGGUCUGAUGGACAGACAUCCUGAGCAGCCAAGGAAGAUCGCCCCUGCAGUGGUGGGGACCUCUCUGGUCCCUAGAACUGCAGAACCAGAACUGAGAUGAUGAUCAACCAGACACAGUUUGACCAAGAAACUGCUUUAUUGUGUAGACCUCCUGAUACGGCCCCAGUUCUUCCUCUAGUUGAACCCAAAGCUCAAUACCCUGAAGACAGGAUGGAGACUCUUGAUCUCGCUGGCUUCCCAGUUUGGCCAUCUUGAUUAAAGUUCCUCUCCUGCUUUUCGCCCUUUCUUUUUUCCCUUUUGGUUUCUGGGGUGAGUGUCCAGAGCUGGUUUGUUGGGACCCCCAGAGUUGGGGAUCUGGCCUUGAACCCAGUGAGAGGGAUAGAGUUUAGAGGUCUUUGGGGUUAAGGAGGCUGGGUGGUCUAAGGCAUGAGGAAAGUGAUUGGAGUAAUGAAUAGGGGAGUCUCUGGUGGUCCGACAUGUGUAGUCAAAUGGCCUUAGCUGUUCCCAGGACACAUGUUCAGCCAAUGACAUCUUUAGCAUUAUUUGUGUGGAGCUUUUGACUAUCCCCAUGGACGUGUCAGUGGCUUCAGCUGGUUUGAGCUGGACAAGGCUUCCUCCAAACUGCCGAGAAACAGCGUUCACAAUUGUGACCGUAGUGACCGGAGCUGUUGUCGGCCAUAAGCUAGUGAGGGGUUUGCUCAUCAUUUAGCUAAACAACAUCUCAACUCAGCAAUAAGAGAAUUAACCAGAACAAGGGAAGAUGAGAUCCUGUUCAAGUUUUCUCUUGUUGUCAGAAACAAGUGUCUCAGGUUGUCUGUGAGAGGAGAGAUCUCUGGAAAAGGGUUCUAAGGAGACGGGUGGGGGGCUUGGCUCAGGACCAGAGGGGUCCUCACUUGAUGGAAAGGAACUUCAGCCCAUGUCAGGAGAGGCACAGGUAGAGACUUAGUUGGAAAAGCAAGGCACACACCUUCAGGGGAGAGCAUGCCCUCUGAAGAGUGAGACAUGCUUUUGGGAUUCUCUUAAAGAAACUUGGUGAAGGGUGGUCAUGGGAAGGUGUGUGAGGUGACAUCAGUCUGUCAUUCUCAGGAUCCUUAGGCUGAUGAGGUCCCCAUUAUCUGAUCCAGUAGAUCACCUUGGAAAGUCCUCUGAUUUCUAGAUUCCUUAAAAUACCAUAUCUCUCUUCACUUCAUCUAUUUAUUGGUGGAUUAACUAAUCGUGCACAAAGCAAUUUUUACAAUUGGGUAAUUUAAAGUGACUUUAAGAUUUACAGAUUUCCCAGAAAUUUGGGAUAACAGGCCUGGGAGAGAGACCGACUUGGGGAGUGACAGGCCUGGAAAUAUACACAGAACUUCAGAGUAACAUUGUAAAAUUCCUUGUCCUUCCUUUAUGUCUCCUUUCUACCUAUUUUAAAAAAUUUCUUCCAUCCUACCUCAGCAUCUUUAGGACAAGAGAUAGCUUUGCAUUUGGAGCAAGGUGUCAGGGAGUUAGGUUCUUAGCCUCUCACAGGAUCUGGGACACAGAAAUACUGUCUCCUUAGAUGGUUCCCAGGCUCUUGAGGAGGCACCUUUGCAUUGUAGGAGGUUGACACCUUAGAGGGAUGGAGAAAGAAUCUAUAAUUUCAAAUUUUCUAAAGCAAAUGCUCUGAGGAAAGGUAGGCCAGGGCCUGCAGUCUGAAUCUGGCUGGAGCAGAUGGCGUCUGUUGGCGCUGGUUCUCAGCUUUGCAUUGCUAGGACCAGAAGACCCUAUGAGAACAACACAGGGGAGGAAAAGGUCAUCAGGGGCACACAGUUUCAGAGAUCUCAGUGCAUAAAUAGUUGAGCCCAUAGCUGUGGACCCAAAGUGAGGUAGAACAUCAUGGUGGAGGUUGAGGCAGAGGAGAGCAGUUCAGGAUAGGGCAAUCAGGAAGCAGAGAGCUCCGCUCACCACCGACAAAAUAUAAACCCCCAAGGGACAUCCCCAGUGACCCACCUCCUCCAGCCACCCCACCUGCCUGCGGUUACCACCCAGUUAAUCCAUAUUACAACUCCAUAAUAUCACCAACUCACUCUGAAUCCUCUUGCAUUGCCUCACAUGAACUUUCUGGGGACACCUCGCAUCUACACCAUGACACAUGGGUCUUUCUCAGGCAGGUGCUGAAGGGACUGGGUCAUCCCAGGAAGAUGCCGUGAGUUGCUAGGAUCCCUGUUACUGUUUAUUCAGUCCUCUGUGCAGGUUUGUGGGUGGUUGUGGUGUUAAACCAAAAAUCUCUCGAGAGCAGGGAGCGCUCUCCUAAAUAAGUCUGACUGUGCUUGGACUGGCAUGGGCUGAAAAUCUUUUCUGUCAGGAAAGCCAAGGGCCCCACAUGUUCUGAAUUGAGGGCCCCCUCUCCAGGAAUUCCUCCAGUGACAAAGCCUCAGUUGAGGGUCCCUAGAGAAGAGAAGCCAGGUCAAGGAGAGAUUGGUCAAGGCGAGGCUGUCCCUGUCCAUCAUGCUCCACCUACAGUUGUGCUCCUGUAUCUAGAAUGCAAACACGGGCCAUGCCAUUUAUCCUGAACUAGAGAGAAGAAGCAAACCAGAUGAGUCUCUCAUCUGGAGUCAGAGUAGGGAGAGCUACUGACCAGAGGCCAGACCAGAACAUCCUGGAAACAUGGUCACAUGUCCAUAUGGAUGAGUUCAUCUCACUUUGUCCUUAUUGGUGACGUGAUUGCUGAGGAAGCCUGAGCACAGGUAGAUGUGUGCAUGUUUCCCAGGGGUAACUCGCAGACGUCCAUGCAUGCGUGUUAAAUACCUUUAUUAGAGGGUAUGUUAGCAGUGCACAGAACAGCUUUCAUAAGAGGGUGAGUUUCUGGAAGAAGAGGCGCUAAGAGCUGUGGAAGGCUGGUCUUCAGCCAUAGCCUGGUGAGGCAGGGCAUGGCCUGGCGGAGGGCCUCUUGCUGGCUUGCUGUCCUCGUGUCAAGUUCUCACGUGGUGGAGGGAGAAGAGGGGCCAGCUCUCGGUACCUCUUCUCAUGAGGGCCUCCCUCUCAUGACCUCAUCGAGACCUAAUUACCUCCCAAAGGGCCCCGUCUCCGAACACCAUUGGACUGGGGUCAGAGUUUCAAUCUAUGAAUGUGGAGGACACAAUUCAGUCCAUAGGAUUCUUCCUCAAAAUUCAUGUCCUUGCAUGCAAAAUACAUGUAUUCCACGCCAACAGUCCCCAAAGUCUCCACUCAAGCCAGCAUCAACUCCAAAGUAAAGUCCAAAGUCUUCUAGGUCAUCUCAAUCAAAUGCGGGUGGAGAUGGGCUUGGUUCACCUUGAGGUGGGAUUCCUCCACUUAGGAGCCUGGGAAGCUAGACAGUUACCUGCCUCCAACGCCCUGUGGGGCAGGCAGAGGAGAGGCACUCCAGUUCCUAUGGGGAAGAAAUGGGGCAGGAGCCGGAGGGGGUUGGAUCCAGCGUGUCCAAAGCCCUAGCAUGAAUUCUGCUAAAUGUUAUUAAAGUUGGAUGAUAAUUUCCUUUGGUUUGAUUGUUCCCCAGGGCACUGGGUGGUGUGGCAGGUCUGGAGUCCCCACAGGGAUCCUGUCCCAUAGCUCUGUCCAGCACCCCAUCCGAGGCUCUUCGGGGUCGUCUUGCUCUCUGAAGCUCUGGCAGAAGCUUUCUGGCUGUUGGAACCCAGGCUGUGGCCCUGGUGGCCUCUGAUUUGCCUUUCGGUUGCUUUUCUCCCCCUUAGAGGAUGGCCCACCCAUGUCUGUAACUGAGCAGGUCCCUAGCAUUCCCCUGUCUGUCCUGACGAGCCAGGUAGCUGGUCUGCAGCUUGCCUUCAGUACAAAUGGGCAGGGCUUCUUCCUCCACACCCCAUAAGCUCUUUGUGGGGCGACGGGCUGGCCGCCCUGGUGUUGUCAGCUUUGUGAUUUGUGUAGGCUGAGAAUUUUUCAAAUCUUCAACUUCUGGUUUCUCUGUGCUUCACAACCCCCCUUUCAGCUCAUCUCUCUCCUUUCACAGUUUACUCUAAGCCUCAGGAGGAAGCAAGCCAGUCCUCAGCACUUGGUUUAGAAAUCUUCCAGCUAGAUACCCAAUGGCAUCCCUCUCCCUCUCCCUCUCCCCCCCUCCCCCUCCCUUUCCCACAGGCCCUCCCCGCAUAGAACACUGCGAUAAAUUUCAGUCAAGUUCUUUGCCACCUUAAAAUGAGGACUGCUCUUCCCCUGUUUCCAAUAACAUGCUUUUAAUUUUUGUCUGAGGAUCGCCCUUAGCAUUGAUAUGUCUAGUCUGCACUUUUAAGCCUUCACCUGUGACCCAGUUUCACAGUUGUGUUCACAUUUUUAGGUAUUUAUCACAGCGGCCUUCCACUUCUCUGUUGCCAAAAUCAAUUUCUGUCUGCUCAGAUGCUCAUGACAAAAUAUUAAAGCUUCAACUAUGGAAAUUUAUAUGCUCCCUGUUCUGGAAGCUGGAAUUCCCAAAUCAAGACGUCAACAUGGUUGUUUUCAACCAUGGCUGGUGAGGCCCUUUUGGGGGGUGGUAGAAAACCACCCUCUCACCGUCUCCACAUGACCAGCCAGGUCUCCCAUGUCUCGGGAAGGCUGCACCCUCAUGACAGCAGCUAAAUCUAACCUUCUCCCCCCAACCCUGCCUCCAACACCAUCAGGUCAUGAGAGGUUGGAUCUUCAACAUAUGAAUUUUGGGGGUGCUCUGUUCAGUCCAUAGCACCUGGGUAAGGCUGCUUGGGCCCCGAGCUUAUGGAACCCUCUGGAAAUCCCUCUGAAAUGUGAUUGCUUCUUGAAUAAUGAGAUGGAAAUCAACAUUUAUUGACAUUCUUUUAUAUGCAAAAAUCAUCUUUGGGUUCUUUGCCUGUGUCACCCUGUUGACUGACUGAAGUUCUAUAUAAUGGUACUUGAUAAUGACAAAUGCUAGUGUCUCUCACAGACAGACAUACAGCAAGCUCCACUCACCCUCCUAGCUGAAGGCCCAUGGCUGCCUCAUGGGAUGAGGUCUGGGGAGGUCCCUAGAAGGUUCUCGAGGUACACCACAGACACGAAUUUCAGGACAUGUCCAAAGGCACAGGUCAAGAUUCAUUUAGGAAGCCAGACUUAGUCAGGAAGGCGAAUAGGGAGUGUGUGUGCUCAGGGAGGGUCACAGUCUCUCACCAGUGAGACCCACCUCGGGGUCUUCCUCUUCUCCAUGGUGAGCACAACAGGCACCAGGGCGGUGUCCACGGAUGGGCUGGGUCCCUUUGACUGCGGAGCACAGAGCAGGGCACGGUGGCCUGGCUCCUUUUGACAUCCCCAGGUUGACGCUGUCUAGUUAAUGUGUACCACCUGGCCUGUCCCCGUCCCGGGGUCUUUCACAAUCUCCGCCUCUGCUUUCCAUCACUCUAAACGUACAUUGGUGAAUAUUGCACAGUUGCAUUCCUUUCCCUCCCUGCCCGCUGCGGCCUGCCGUCCUGUGUCCCCGUCCUGCCUCAGCCUGGCCUCCUGCCCGUGCCUGCUGGUCUGCAGCUCCUCACAGCUGCUCCUCCUCAGGCUCGAGCCAGAGCUGCUUUCCUGCUCUGAGGACCAUCAGGAAAUCUCCCCAAACCAGAAGGCUCUCUGGUGGUCCCCAGGCCUCUUUCAGGGAGGGGAGAAGCCCCCUGUUAGCCUUGGGUGCUUCAGAGGCUGGAGGGCGGCCCGCUGCCGAGGCCUGGGCUCUUCAUGGGUGCUCUGUGAACACCUGCUUCCCACCACUCGGGGAAGAGGGUAGGGUCGUGGCCCCUCUGUGCUAACUGGAGUCUGUCCUCGGGAUCUUAUCACCACGCACACCCUGGGUGACCUCUCAGACGUGGUGGCAUGGCAUUUUGGAAGGAGUAACUGUCCUUCCCCUAAGUCACCUUUCCCUGGGCUCCUUGCUCCUUUCCUGUCUGUUCUGCAACAUCUGGAGACACAGGACCUGCCUUCCCCUCCAGCUUUGGGCAGGACAAUGAUCCACGUAGGAGGGACAGAGAAGGGAGUCUGAUUUGGGGGGUUGUUUUAGGGAAAUAGAGUGUCUGGGACCCCAAAGGGAAGGACAGCUGGGCAGGAAGAGGCUCUACUGGCAGAUGUCUGGGUGCUGGUGGGCUCUGGGGAUGGGGAGAGGACAGUUGGUGCUGGGGAGGCCCGUGUUCCGCUUAUUUCCCAGAGCAAAGGCUGUGGCACCCUCACCCUGCAGAGGUCCCCUUCCCAUCGCUCUGGCUUGUGGUAGGAGAUUGUCCCAGCUCUGGGCUGUCACCCCACCGUGGGAGAACCCCUCGUGCAGGAGUGAGGUGAGACACACCUGGGAGGUGUCCGGUUGAACAGUAGAGCGAGGUGGAGUUGGCUUUCCUUAUGGGUGACUUGGUGUGACCUGGGGUGACCCUCUGGGAAGGAGACUCUGUGGAAAUGGUGGCGAGGAACUGGGAGGACCUGACAGCUUUUCUGGCCACAGCCCAGCUCCUGGCAGGGGGAGAACGGGCCCUGGGAGUCUCAUGGGGUCUUCAUAAUCACUCCCGAGAACUCACUGAUCUCCCCCCGGGCUCCCUCCAGGACCAGGACGCUUUCUCUUUACUCGGGUGCUUUUUGUGUCCGCCUCAGAGGCACCUCUGGGCUCAGAGAUCCGCAGCAGUUGCCUAUCAUGAGCAGAUGCCGCUUGUUCUGUUUUGUUCGUUUGCUGCUGUUUGUGGCUCUGGGGGAGUGAGCCAAGGUGCUUCCCACAGAACGCCAUCCCCAGCCCUUAAAAUUAAAAAAAAAAAAAAAAAAAAUAUAUAUAUAUAUAUAUAUAUAUAUAUAUAUUUAUUUAGACAGGGUCUCUCUAAGUUGCUUACGGCCUUGCUAAGUUGCCGAGGCUGGCUUUGAACUUGUAAUCUUCCUGCCUCAGCCUCGGGAUCUCUGGGAUGACAGGCGUGAGCCACGGUGCCCAGCUUCACUUGGGCUGUAAAGAGCACCGGGCUGCUGGGAUCCUCAACUCCACAAAUGAUAGCUGUCACACACUAUUUUAAAUACACUGAUUUCCUCCUCAGGAAAAUGUGGGGUUUGGGGUUCACCUGACUGAGACCUGGGGUUUGAGUGGAGAAGGAGGGGGCAUAUAACUUACGAAAUGUUGAAAACCACUGAAGAAUUUUCAGUGACUCUCUCUCACUGCCUGAGAACACUGCAGGGCUCUGGGGCUGGGAUCAGAUCCCAUCUCUGUCACUCCACGGCUGGCUCCUGGCAGGGGCACAACUCAAGAUGCUUAAGUGACGGGACUGAGUCCCCAACUCCAGGCUGGAGCCAUGUUUUGGGCAAACCCAGAGAAUAGCCUGAAAGCCAUCUCCAAGGGGCUGGCAGCCCAAGGCUUGGGUAGACGUGACUGGCAGGCCAUGCCUGAGCACCCAGCACCCUGGCCUUGUGCUGGGGGACCUGUGGGUGGCUCCUCCCUUCUGAACCUCAGAGCCCAUUCCUUCCCUCGCUAGUAACUCUUCUCCAAAUGCCUGCCUUGGCACAUCAGGCUGAGGUCCAGUCUGCCCCUGUCCGGGUCCAUCCCAGGGCUUCCUGACUCCCAUAUCUUGGGGGCCUAUUUUGAGUUUGGGGUCCUAUUGUUGUGUGUGAAAGUGGCUCAGGAGGAUUUUCCCCCAGGAGAGCAGGCAGCAGGUAUCAGCAAACUGACAGGGAGCAGAGAAAGGCACAGGUACGUGGAGGAGCAGGUAAGUGUAACUACGGAGAGGCCAUUUCAUAAAAAUACUGCCUUCCUUAUUUUUUUUUAAAGUCACCUAUUCUAAAGGUAUUAACCUGGGUUUUUUUUAGGCACUGGAUAUUGAGCCCUAAGCGUGCACUUUGCCACUGCGUCACAUAUACAGCUUUACCCCGGACGUUCUUGACAGCUUCUUUGCCGGCUUCAUGGUCCAAUUGAAGAGAUCAACCAGGCCAGGGCCAAAGGUAUGUUCUUAGCUGGUGUCUGGUGCUAUGGCUGGAAUGUGGUUUGUGCCCUCCAGAAUUUAUGUUGAAAUAAUUUGAUUUCUAGCUGACAGUGUUGCGGGGGGACCUUUAAGAAAUGUGUUUGGGCCCUCAGUGCCGCUCUUGGAGGACUGGGCUAGUUCUGGAGGGGCCA
rnacentral:lncRNA from 1 species